GGACCCGCACAAGCGGUGGAGCAUGUGGUUUAAUUCGAUGCAACGCGAAAAACCUUACCUACUCUUGACAUACUUGGAAGCUCUUGUAAUGAGAGUGUGCCUUUUGGAACCAAGAUACAGGUGCUGCAUGGCUGUCGUCAGCUCGUGUCGUGAGAUGUUCCGUUAAGUCAAGUCCUGUGGCCCUUAUGGGUUGGGCUACACACGUGCUACAAUGAAAAUUUACAGAAAUGUUACCUUUGAUUUAAGUAAUUUUGUUAAUCUUUAAAAAUUUUCGUAGUUCGAAUUAUAAGCUGCAACUCGCUUAUAUGAAGGUGGAAUCACUAGUAAUCGCAAAUCAGAAUGUUGCGGUG
rnacentral:rRNA from 1 species